ACAGGGAUUGCCCUAGUAACGGCGAGUGAAGCGGCAACAGCUCAAAUUUGAAAUCUGGCUCUUUCAGGGUCCGAGUUGUAAUUUGCAGAGGGCGCUUUGGCAUUGGCAGCGGUCCAAGUUCCUUGGAACAGGACGUCACAGAGGGUGAGAAUCCCGUACGUGGUCGCUAGCCUUUACCGUGUAAAGCCCCUUCGACGAGUCGAGUUGUUUGGGAAUGCAGCUCUAAAUGGGAGGUAAAUUUCUUCUAAAGCUAAAUACUGGCCAGAGACCGAUAGCGCACAAGUAGAGUGAUCGAAAGAUGAAAAGCACUUUGGAAAGAGAGUCAAAUAGCACGUGAAAUUGUUGAAAGGGAAGCGCUUGCAGCCAGACUUGCCUGUAGUUGCUCAUCUGGGCUUUUGCCCAGUGCACUCUUCUAUAGGCAGGCCAGCAUCAGUUUGGGCGGUUGGAUAAAGGUCUCUGUCAUGUACCUCUCUUCGGGGAGGCCUUAUAGGGGAGACGACAUGCAACCAGCCUGGACUGAGGUCCGCGCAUCUGCUAGGAUGCUGGCGUAAUGGCUGUAAGCGGCCCGUCUUGAAACACGGACCAAGGAGUCUAACAUCUAUGCGAGUGUUUGGGUGUCAAGCCCGAACGCGUAAUGAAAGUGAACGGAGGUGGGAACCUUAGGGUGCACCAUCGACCGAUCCUGAUGUCUUCGGAAGGAUUUGAGUAAGAGCAUGGCUGUUGGGACCCGAAAGAUGGUGAACUAUGCUUGAAUAGGGUGAAGCCAGAGGAAACUCUGGUGGAGGCUCGCAGCGGUUCUGACGUGCAAAUCGAUCGUCAAAUUUGGGCAUAGGGGCGAAAGACUAAU
rnacentral:rRNA from 1 species